rnacentral:rRNA from 1 species
UACAGAGGUCCCAAGCGUUGUUCGGAUUCACUGGGCGUAAAGGGUGCGUAGGUGGCUGGAAAAGUUUGAUGUGAAAGCUCAGGGCUUAACCCUGAAAUGGCAUUGAAUACUGUCUAGCUGGAGGUUUGGAGGGGGGACUGGAAUUCUUGGUGUAGCAGUGAAAUGCGUAGAUAUCAAGAGGAACACCAGUGGCGAAGGCGAGUCCCUGGACAACACCUGACACUGAGGCACGAAAGCUAGGGGAGCAAACAGG